UACGGGGGGGGCAAGCGUUGUCCGGAAUUACUGGGCGUAAAGGGUUCGUAGGUGGCUUGCUAAGUCAGACGUGAAAUCCCUCAGCUUAACUGGGGAACUGCGUCUGAUACUGGCGAGCUUGAGUGCAGGAGAGGAACGCGGAAUUCCAGGUGUAGCGGUGAAAUGCGUAGAUAUCUGGAGGAACACCGGUGGCGAAGGCGGCGUUCUGGACUGCAACUGACACUGAUGAACGAAAGCCAGGGGAGCAAACGGG
rnacentral:rRNA from 1 species